rnacentral:lncRNA from 1 species
CCACAUUCAAAAUAAAAUAGAAAGAGACAUGAGAAAACUAAACUAAACUAAAUAGCUUUGAGCAGAUUUAAGAGAAUCAAAUUUCGAAUUCAAGACAUCCUUUAUUGAUUUCAAGUAGAAAUUAACAAAUUCCACACACUCAAACACAGUUGGUCAGUUUAGGUCCAAAAGAGUACCUGGAAGGGAACAAAAAAGAGGUGAAGAGUCGGCAGUAGCAGCAGUAGAAAUCAGCACCAGUAGAGCCAAUUUGAAUAAAAAGUUUAUGUGUAGCAAGCCCAGAAAAUGUUUGAUCGAACAGUAGACAUCACAACCUCAAACUAAACUUUCAAAAACUCAUCUCAGUCCAUUUUUAAGCCCAGAUGAUUAAAAUGUUCUUUCAGAGAUUAAAGAGUAACCAAAAAUGCAAAAAUGAUCAAUGAAACAGUAAAACAGUACAACCGUUUGAUUUUUCAGAUUAUUUCUCUUCAAUCCCCAUGUAAGAGUAAUUUUUGGAGUUACUAUAUUUUUAUGAAUUUUUCAGCUUUGAAAUCUCUGCUUUGAAUGCCAAGGUAGAGUGCCUUUAUAGGCAAGCAAUUAGGCCAAACACUUCAGAUUUCAACUUUGCCUUUUAGCCGCUUUUUAAUUUUCAUUUUAGCUUAGGUGACCCUAAAUUCUAACUUGAUACCUAAGUUAUACUACCUAAAAGGCUGAAAGUGGAAUUAAAACCCCACACUAGAAGCUUCCUAGGUAGUUACACUAAGAUUCCCUUACUAAUUUCCCUACAUUACCCUUUAAGAUCCUGAUAUCUACACUCCCAAACCAGACUAGCUAUGGGUCGAGCCGACCCAAACAACAAAAUUCAUAAGGUUGUUGUUGGGUCAGCUCAUGAGUAUUCCAAGCCCCAUAACUCUGACUCAAACAAAUUAACGCACAAACGAUGGCCCCAAAGGACUUAAUCGAUUUAAAUACUAACUUAUGGAAAUAAAUCGAAUCAACUCUAACCCUUUAACACAAUUAACCAAAAUUAACUCAUGGAUACUGUUUAUACAAAACUAACUAGAAAUAGAAAUAGAGGAACAAGAAAAGAAAAAGAGAGAAUGAAGAUGGAGGCGGAAUAGAAGAAAAUGAGUUGAAUAACAAAACGGACGAGGAAGACGAAGGAGAAAGGACAAAGAGAAUACCUCUAAGGUCGUAAGGACGAAGCUUGAUAACUUUAAUGACUUCGAUUUGAUUCAAAACAGGUAUUAACGAUAUGUUCCCAAAGGGAACAAACAGGUAAUACCCGUUUCGAGCCCUAUCGUUCAAGGGGAUUUGAAGGCCUGAC